CAGAACGAACGCUGACGGCGCGUCUUAAGCAUGCAAGUCGAACGAGAAAGUAUCCUUCGGGGUACAAGUAAAGUGGCGAACGGGUGAGUAACACGUGGGUAAUCUGCCCUGAAGUUGGGGACAACUCGCUGAAAAGCGAGCUAAUACCGAAUGAGAUAGUCUUUACAUAUGUGAGGAUUAUGAAAGGUUUCGGCCGCUUCAGGAUGAGCCUGCGGUCUAUUAGCUAGUUGGUGAGGUAAAUGCUCACCAAGGCUACGAUAGAUAGCCGGCCUGAGAGGGUGUACGGUCACAUUGGAACUGAGACACGGUCCAGACUCCUACGGGAGGCAGCAGCUAAGAAUAUUCCGCAAUGGGCGAAAGCCUGACGGAGCGACGCCGUGUAGUUGAUGAAGGCCUUACAGGUUGUAAAAACCUUUUAUUCGAGAAGAUGGGCAAGCCUCGAGCUUGCUUGACGGUAUCGAACGAAUAAGCCCCGGCAAAUUACGUGCCAGCAGCCGCGGUAAUACGUAAGGGGCUAGCGUUGUUCGGAAUUAUUGGGCGUAAAGGGCGUGCAGGCGGACUGAUAAGUCGGGUGUGAAAUCUUAUGGCUUAACCAUGAGCUAUUGCUCGAAACUGUUAGUCUAGAGUUUGGAAUAGGGAGACGGAAUUCCUAGUGUAGGAGUGAAAUCUAUAGAUAUUAGGAAGAACACCGGUGGCGAAGGCGGUCUCCUGGUCUAAAACUGACGCUAAAGCGCGAAAGCUAGGGUAGCAAACGGGAUUAGAUACCCCGGUAGUCCUAGCCGUAAACGUUGCAUACUAGGUGUAUGAG
rnacentral:rRNA from 1 species